rnacentral:tRNA from 1 species
CGGGAUGUAGCACAGCGUGGUAGUGCGCUCGGUUCGGGACCGAGAGGCCGCAGGUUCAAGUCCUGCCAUCCCGA